rfam:Desulfobacterales bacterium S3730MH5 k99_2378940, whole genome shotgun sequence.
GUUCGAAAAAGGCAAACCACCCGAAAGGGUGGAACGCAACGCCACCGGUCUGACUCUCCAGGGUACUGGGACUGGGUACGGUAGGCAGGGCUGCCUGG